CUUUGCUUCUUUCGUUGGGGUUCGUUGCUUAACUGCUAGAAUACAGUUUCACUUUCCACAGGGCCGGGGAGCCGUGUUUGGCUGUGGCUGAGUUUGUCGGUGGCUGUGUAGGUGUGCAACUGGUAGUACUUUUCUUUGCCGUUUUAUUUUUGCGUUUCGUCUCGUUUACGGGGUCCCGGAUUUCCCUUCUUUGCUGUUUCAUCGUUCCUCCAGACCGACGUAAUAUUUGGUUGCGUUUUCUUUCUCGCUUGUUGGUUUUCUGACGUCUAGCAAAGGGUUUCUGCUUUGCUGCAGAAGAACAGUAGUGGUGAGAACUACCAGUGGUUGUAAAGCAUGGAACGAGUAGCCUUGAAGGUAAGGGAAAAGUGAAAGCUUCGCACCACAAACGAUUGACAUGCGGAAGAUAAGAAUUUAUUAGAGUGCAUCAGCCUUCCGGGCACUGUUAGCACGUCAGCGUACGGGAAAGUCAAGGCACGUCAGCGUUCAGCCCUUCGGGGUCUAUAAGUAUCGAACAAUUUUCCAACCAACGGUAAGAAUUGAUUGAAACAAUCGAAUCAAACCAUGCCACCGUGAACCGAAUCCCGACCACGAUCGCGUUUCCUAUUAACACGUAGGUCACGAGAAAGGUUUCGUUCCGACGCGAAGGGAAUUGUAACAUGGAAAGAUAAAGGGACGAAUCAACACCAAUAUGGCUGAAUGGUGUUUUGUUAGUAAUGCCAGAAAUGGAAGUGAAUGAACAUUGAACUCACAACCAACAAACGAACCACAAAAUCGCUAACCAUUUGGAUGAGCAAAAGAACAAAAAACCAGUUUUACCAAAAAGUUUCAAGGAAGAGUGGAAAAUACCAUCGCAACAACUCAAUUACUGUGUGUACUCUGCCAGAAGUAAACAAAGCUAUAAGUUUUAAUUGCAAAUACGUAAAAUAUUGAGAUGGUUAUAAACAUUGGCAAAGAUAUUUAAUAAAAAUAAAAAAGGGGCUGCAAACU